CGGUGCUCGAGGACUUGAGUUGAUUGUGCUUGCUCUAAAAUAAUAUUGUCUUCUAGUAAUACAGGUAUCAGGUCUUCCUAUAGGUGGCAGCCAUGAAUUUUAUAAUGCAGAAGUUCUUGAUGGAGGCUGGUCGUGCAGACUUUCCACCCGGUACCGUGUGUCUUUUGCAUCUGCAACCUGAAACUCAACAGAGGAACGUGAAAUGGUCUCGUAUCAAGCACAAAAACAGCUGCAGCUGCCAGAGCGGCUUCAUCACUUCAUCUCAACGUUGUCAUCUCAAAGCAGGCUGGUGUGAAUGUUCGGAUGUGGUUAAUGAGGUGUGUCCUUCUGGUUCUGCAGCAACGACAGCCUUGUGGUUUGGGUUUUCAAAACAAGUGAUUCUCAAAAGUAUUCGAUUUACCUGAGGACUACUUGCACACUCUGUGAGUGCCUGUCUAUGGCUUCUGCCUAAAAGU